rfam:Alligator mississippiensis ScZkoYb_115, whole genome shotgun sequence.
GCCUACAGCCAGUCUGGACUGAGUGCACCUGAUCUUGGAAACUAAGCAGUUCUGGGCCUGGCUAGUACUUGGAUGGGAGACUGCCUGGAAAUCCCAGGUGCUGUAGGCA